AUGCUUGGCAGUUUUGAAGAAAAAGAUAAAUACAAUCCAGAGGACGAAAAGAGACUGAAAGUAGUUAACGGGGCUUUGGGAAUUGCAGAAAGUUGGAGCAGGAGGGGGAGCACUGGCUGGAUAGAAGUGCUCCUUCAGCUUAGGCCAUUAUGGGAAAUGGGGGCAGUGGCAGCUGGCGAUGAUGUUGGUCCUGGACACCUUGCUAUAGGAGAUGGUAGAGCAGUUGCCUGUGUAGGUGGGCCAAGGUGCUUUCAGUUUCUGGGCAGACAAGAAUUGGAAAGUCACCCCUUUGCAUUGCUGGGAACCAUGGCAGAAAAAUGAUGAAGUUAUUAGCUUUGAAGUAACAACUGGCUCUUUGCCUGUUGUUGAGUAUAUACAUUGAGAAAGUGCAAGUACAUAUUCCAUUCGCUAGAAGGGAAUGUGGGGGCUCUCCUGGCUCUGUGUGGGUUACUGUCUGGUUACUAGAAGGAGUGUCACUUACCUGAAGGUAUGAGUUUGAUAGACUUACUAUUGCUCACCAAUACUUCCAAAUCUCUUUCUUUUCCUGUUUACAUGGAAGAAUUUGUUGCCAGAAAUGAUGUGUGAGCGUUUAGGAGUUGGCAAGAAUUUUUCUCCAUGUUUUUUUCUCUCUCUCUCUUUAGAAAAUACUAUGGUGGUGAUAUCACAACCUGGUGGAACCUACAGUGGCCUGGGUCCCUGAAUGAUGGUAUGGAGCAGAGUCCCAGGCCCUACAGCAUUGAGUAUGGAGAUGAAUGAGAAAUAAAUUGGUUGUUUUAAGUGACUGAGAUUUUGGAAUUCAUGGUAGUUGCAACACAGUCUAAUUGAUCUCGAUGAGUGUUGCCAAAAUCAAAGGAGUGGAUGAGUUCUUUAAAUUUUAGCAGAAGGCCAAAGUUAGCAAACUAGGAAUUGGAGCCUGGAUGGGUCACUGGAUCUUUGUACAUGUGGCUGGAUCCAAGAAAAGGCCAAUUACAAAUGCUCAUACAUAGAACUAGGGAUGGGUGAGGCAAGAACAGCGCCAGUAAUGUCAGGGUAGGGGCGUCUGGGUGGCUCAGUGAGUUAAGCAUCUGCCUUGGGCUCAAGUCCUGAUCUUGGGGUCCUAGAAUUGAGCCCUACAUUGGACUCCCUGAUCAGUGGGGAGUCUGCUUCUUCCUCUCCUUCUGCUCCUCCCCCCAGCCCUUUCUCUCUCUCUCAAAUCAAUAAAUAAAAUCUUUUUAAAAAAUAGUGCAGGUUCAGUUGAUGGGACCUGAGAAUGUACCUGGGGCAGAUGCCAGUGCCACUUCUCACAUUUUGCUGCAAUACAAGUUAUAGAGGGCAGAUAGAUCUUUUUUUUUUUAAUUUUCUCAAAGAUUUUAUUUAUUCAUGAGAGACACACACACACACAGAGGCACAGACACAGGCAGAGGGAGAAGCAGGCUCCAUGCAGGGAGCCCAACGUGGGACUCGAUCCUGGGUCUCCAUAAUCACACCCUGGGCUGAAGGCAGUGCUAAACCGCUGAGCCACCUGGGCUGCCCUAGGGCAGAUCUUUGAACCAGAGAUCAAUUCCAGAACCUUCCCCAGACCUCAUGGACUGAAUUGUGUCCUCUCCUUUCCCCAAAUUCAUAUGUUGAAGUCCUAACCCCCAAUGUGACUGUAUUUGGAGAUAGGACCUUUAGGGAAUUAAUGUUAAAUGACAUCAUAAGGGUGGAGCCCUAAUCCAGUAAGACAGAUGUCCUUAGAAGAAGGGGAAGAGAGAUCAGAAAUCUCUUUCUGGGUGCAUACAGAGAAAAGCUGUGUGAGGAUGCAGUGAGAAGGGCAGCCAUCUGAAAGCCAGGAAGAGAGAUCUCCCCAGAAACCAACGCUUGUGGCACCUUGAUCUUGGGCUUCCAGCAUCCAGAAUGGUAAGAAAACAAAUUUCUGUUUCUUAACCACCCAGGCUGUGGUAUUUUGUAAGGUGGCCUGAGCUAUUACAGACCUGGACCUAGGACUUGUUACCUGAUGCCUUCUUCUCCGGGGGUUUCCUGGGGGGGAACUUUCUGUUUAGAGUCAGAUAUUUUGAGGUGGAGAGGAAAGAGAGGAGAGGGGAAUGAUGCAUGUAUGAACACCUCCUUGCCCUUCUAACAACAUGCUUUUUUCCAUGUAUUAUACUGGACUUCAAUUGUAGCCCUGGAAAAUAGGGAUAAUUAUCCUAGGUUUACUGAUUUUAUUCAUUUGCUCAGCAACAAUUUCGAAGCAUCUACUAUGUGUUGGGGUAUGAUGCUGAGUUUGGGGGUGCAGAGUUGAAGAGGCAACAGCUCCUGCUUUCAAGUGGCUGCAUGAAUUGAGGCCUCCAGGAUAAGCUCCAAGUUCAGUGAGAAGAGGCUAGUGAGGACUCGGUCCUGGAUUUUAGCUUUGUACCUGGGCUCUUGGAAAAGAGAAGCAAAGCAGAGAAUUCUCUGUAAGAGAUGCUGGUGGAGCCUUGCAUCCCAGGAAAGCCUGUCUCUUCUUUGUCCCCAGGAAGCUGAGGGUCAGCAUCACGCUUAGGCAGCUUGUCCAGUUAUAGGUGACCUGCAUCCCAGCCAGUCCCCACCUUCUUCGUUGCUGGCAGAACCUUUACUUUGUCUAGAUCUCUUGCACCCACGCACUUCAGGGAAAGCUGGCUUCUCCCAGUCCCGAGGGUGAAUCCUGUAGGCAGCCAGGCAAUCAACACACUUGAUCUAUUCUUCUUGCAAUUCUAACUAGUGAAAUAUGAUAGAGCCUGCAGGGAUUCUUGGAUUUCUCACCCUAAAAUGAACACAAAAGGGGGACAUUCUGGUUUUCUUGAGAGGUAUUACUGUGUGAGUGCAUGAUGCUGGGAGCUGCUGCAGCCACUUUAUGACCAUGAGGAGACAGGCCAAAGAACAAUUGCUAACAGUCUAAGCACGGCGGAGCAGAGGGAGGGAAAGAACUGGUUCUUAAUCUUGAUCAACUGAAAUAACGGGGCUUCUUGUUAGAUCAGAUAAUAAAAAUCAUCUCACUGUUUAAGCUCUCUUGGGUUGGGCAUCCUAUUACUUGCAGCCAACAGCUGCCCAACAUAUAUAGGCAGAAACAAUCAACCAGCAUAUGUGCACUGAGGUCCCCCGAUUCAGUGUGUGGCUUUGGGCAGGUCUUGUGACCUCUCUGGGCCCCAGUUUUCUCCUCUGUAAAAUCAGGGUCUUUCCAGAUCUACCUCUUCAAAUUACGCAUUGUGCUCAGCCCUGGGAUAUGUACCCUGGGUGGGGGGUUGCGGGGAGGUGCAAAGAAGGAUAAGAAGUGCUAAUUGGAAUCAGAGAGAAAGCCAUCUCUGAUGUGGCUGAUGGGGGGAAGAGGGAGGGGAGGGGGGUCUCUCUCUUCACUUACUGAAGGAAGGAAUAUGUGUGUGAGAGGACCCAUGGACUGCCUGCUAAGGAAGGUGCCUGGGUUACACAUCGUCCCUUCAGCCAUUCUGGGAUCCCUCAUCUAAUUUUGCUCUGAUCAGUGUCAGCCUGCCACAUGGUUUGCUCACAGCCCUUCAUGCCUGGCACCUCUCCCUUGGCUGGAGCAGCUCUUCCUGCAGGGGAGUGGGGUGGGGCAGAUCUUGCUGGAGUUUGCUAAAGUCAGAGAGGAGAGGGUAUGGGAGUCGGUGAUAGGCCCAGUGUACCGCCCAGUCUCGGAGCCACCUGAAUCAGAACUGCCGGGAUCCCUGGGGAAAGCAGAUGCAACUUCUACCCAACACCCGAUCGGCUCUGCUCUGGACCUUCUGUGCAUUACUGCUCCUUGUCAUCUUCACACUGAUGCUGGAAGCUGAGUGCUUCUAGUGGAACAAGAAAGCAAGGCUCAG
rnacentral:lncRNA from 1 species